rnacentral:rRNA from 1 species
GAUGAACGCUGGCGGCGUGCCUAAUACAUGCGAGUCGAGCGAACAGACGAGGAGCUUGCUCCUCUGACGUUAGCGGCGGACGGGUGAGUAACACGUGGAUAACCUACCUAUAAGACUGGGAUAACUUCGGGAAACCGGAGCUAAUACCGGAUAAUAUAUUGAACCGCAUGGUUCAAUAGUGAAAGACGGUUUUGCUGUCACUUAUAGAUGGAUCCGCGCCGCAUUAGCUAGUUGGUAAGGUAACGGCUUACCAAGGCAACGAUGCGUAGCCGACCUGAGAGGGUGAUCGGCCCCACUGGAACUGAGACACGGUCCAGACUCCUACGGGAGGCAGCAGUAGGGAAUCUUCCGCAAUGGGCGAAAGCCUGACGGAGCAACGCCGCGUGAGUGAUGAAGGUCUUCGGAUCGUAAAACUCUGUUAUUAGGGAAGAACAAAUGUGUAAGUAACUAUGCACGUCUUGACGGUACCUAAUCAGAAAGCCACGGCUAACUACGUG